AGGCACCCGUCAAUCACCUCAGCCACCCAGGCUUGCACCCCAGGAAUUUCAACACCUUCCAAAUAUGAUCGAAAAUGUAGACACUAAUUCACGAAUGAUUCUUCUAAAUCUCCUUGGUGAUAAUGUCUAGAUGGGAUGUGAAUCUACGAUGAAGAAUAAUAUGCAAAUCCCUCCCCGUGAGCAAUGUGGCAUGUUGCUAGGAUGGAGCAGGACCAAGCUGCCAAUAAAAGAAAAGCUUCUGUAGUCACCAAACCGAAACAGAAAGCAUUGGCCUUGAGGGAUCAUUGCUGAGCACAAGAACAGCAGAACGGUUAGAAGGCUGUUGAUAAAGCAAUAACCACAGCUCUUGAACUGUGUAUCCACUGAAGUAAUAUUAUGGUUUCUUAGCUCUUAAUCAUUUUAAAUGACCAGUAGCCUGAUCUCUGGAGUAGAUCUGAAAUCCCCAGACUGUGAUAUUCCUAUUAAAACUCUUCGCACUCCUCAUAAUUUAUCC